UAUGUCGCGUGCUUUCCCUCCGAGGGUUCAGUCGCCCUAAUAUGUGCAGCAGUCUAACCUUGUGAAAGCCUUGGCAAGGAGACCGAACCAUGUGGACCCAUUGGAAUAAGACUGAAAUACAGACCUGAUGCAGUCCCCCCUGCGAUCUUGCCAAGAAUGUGUGCAGAAUGAUCGUUUACUUUCUCUAGGGAAUUUGCUGGAAAUUUAAGAAGCCGUGAGGACAUGUUGGCCUUGGGAAAGCUGGUGACUAAACUCUGCUCAUGGUGUGAACUUUAUGCCAGAUGCCCAGCAAUGGCCCAGUUAAGAUCCAGAAGCCAGGAAGAAUAAGGCCUACCUCUGGGUCACAUGGCUGAUGAGGACAAGUGCAGAUGUAGCCUCUGGACCCCUCACCACAUUUAAGAGUCAUCAUUUCCAUCUAACCAACUGCACAUUGCCUUAGAAGUUAUAAUUAUGUAGGAGGGGAAAGUUAGCUGUAGGUAUUGUGACACAAAUAAACUUGUUAAUUCUUGAA